AAAGAUGGAUGCUACCAUUGAAGGAAGUCUGUUAACCGAGUCUCUUGUCUAACACUUGGGAAUGGAUUGUCUGAGGAGACACACUGGCUGACAAAGCAAGAGACUUGAUUGGGAGAAGGGUGUCCGGGCAGAGAGCAACAGGGUUACACUUGACUUGUGCAUAUAAAGCAUGUGGAAACAAGAACUGAAAUCUAAUAACUCCAAGAGCAAGAAUGAAAUGUGACGAUGUUUUCAGGAUUGAAAAUGGGGAAGGAAAUCAAUUGCUUGUUCUGCGGAGUUAAGAGAAUAAAUUGGGUAACCAAGACUUUCAUUUAGUCAGGAAGACCCAUUCUUUUGUUAAGCAAAGAAAUGGCUUUGUUUAUCAAUUACCUAUGAAGGAUCAAAGAGUGAGAUCAGGAAGAGAUGAACGCAUUUAGGGGCCUGGCUCCCAGGCUGCACAAGAAAGUGUCGGGUAGUUCCAAGCAAGCUGUUUAACCUUUCAACGACUCAAAUUAGCCAUCCUUUGAAAUGGCAAGCUUAUUAUCGUCAUCAAAUGCAUUUACUGAGUGUCCAACUUUGCACGGUGCUGGGGCAUGAAAAAGAAAGAAAAAAGGAGGCUGCAGUGUGAUGCAGUGGGGAUCCAUGAUCUGAUCCACUCAGGGCUCUCCCUGUGGCUAUGAGGAAGCCACUUCUCUGAACCACAGUGUCCUGAGCUCUCAAGAAGGAGGAAAAGGCUUGAAUGCCAGUUGCUCUGCAUCACGGCUGUCGAACAGCUGUCAUCAGCGGACAUUCCGAAGGCAUACAUCUAUUUCUCCCGCCCUUACUUUGAGUUCCACUUUGCACUAUUCUGCUGUUAAUUAUUCCCCUCUAUUCUCUUGUCUAAUUUUGUGUGUCAUUAAAAUAGUUCCAGCUACAUUUUCCUCUUGCUGUUUCUUCGGCUGUAACACCUGUAAUGUGGGGAGACCUGAGUUGAGCCCGUUCGGUCCAAGGAGAACUCAGGUCUCUCACCUCCUGCUCCACUUCACCUGCUCUGUCUAGGGCAGGUGGCGUGUCCCCUCAUACCAGCAGCCCUGCGGUGACACUCUCCCCAUCUGUCUGCUUAUCACCUGACAGCCUGGCCGCCUCAUCGCUCUCCUGUCUGUACAGUUCUAUCGAUCAGACACUCGGUAACCUUGACAGUGUCACUUGAUGUCUUUGCCAUCGAGAGAGCAUCCUCUGGCUCCUGCAAGCUGGCUC
ensembl:lncRNA